rnacentral:ncRNA from 1 species
UGUUGUCUCGCCAGAGGCAAUGGCAGGGUAGCCACGUUCGGAAAGGAUAACCGCUGAAAGCAUCUAAGCGGGAAGCCCCCCUCAAGACAAGAUUUCCCUGGAACAUAUGUUCCCUGAAGGUCCGUUGGAGACUACAACGUUGAUAGGCCGGGUGUGUAAGUGCAGCAAUGCAUUCAGCUAACCGGUACUAAUUGACCGUGAGGCUUGACCAU